AUUGAACGCUGGCGGCAUGCUUUACACAUGCAAGUCGAACGGUAACGCGGGGCAACCUGGCGACGAGUGGCGAACGGGUGAGUAAUGCAUCGGAACGUGCCCGGUAGUGGGGGAUAACUGCUCGAAAGAGCAGCUAAUACCGCAUACGACCUGAGGGUGAAAGGGGGGGAUCGCAAGACCUCUCGCUAUUGGAGCGGCCGAUGUCGGAUUAGCUAGUUGGUGGGGUAAGGGCCCACCAAGGCGACGAUCCGUAGCUGGUCUGAGAGGACGACCAGCCACACUGGGACUGAGACACGGCCCAGACUCCUACGGGAGUCAGCAGUGGGGAAUUUUGGACAAUGGACGCAAGUCUGAUCCAGCCAUGCCGCGUGCGGGAAGAAGGCCUUCGGGUUGUAAACCGCUUUUGUCAGAGAAGAAAUCUUCUGGGUUAAUACCUCGGGAGGAUGACGGUAUCUGAAGAAUAAGCACCGGCUAACUACGUGCCAGCCGCCGCCGUAACAC
rnacentral:rRNA from 1 species